CUAUGGAGUUAAUUGUGAGGACUGGCUGCUGAGGUUGAUGUGUGGCAGUGUGGAGAUCAGGACCAUUUAUGCGGGGCAUAAACAAGCCAAGGCCUGCAUCUUCUCUCGGCUCAGCUCAGAGCGAGCUGGCACUCGGUUCAAUGUUCGAGGAGCAAAUGAUGAUGGGCAAGUGGCCAACUUUGUGGAAACAGAACAGGUUAUUUUCCUUGAAGACAGAGUCUCAUCCUUCAUACAGAUCCGUGGGUCCAUUCCACUUUUCUGGGAACAGCCAGGAAUACAGGUUGGUUCCCAUCGUGUGAAACUCUCAAAGGGAUUUGAGGCUAAUGCCCCGGCUUUUGAGAG